GUUAUAGUAGCCUAAUUUACUAAGGCAUCGGUCUUGUAAUCCGAAGAUUGAGGGUGUAAACCCCUCCUAUAACA
rnacentral:tRNA from 1 species